AAACCCUUAAGUUCUACACACUGAGCAAGCGCGUUUCUCCGCUGCUAACAUGGUAUCGGAGCUUUGGGCUCCUUGAUCCUGAGAAUGGCGCUUGCUGGCCAGGAGGCCAGUGAUGAGGAGGAGGAUGAGCCUCCCAAUUGCAAUCCCUCUUGCAAUGUUUGGGACGCUUGAGGCGUUGCACCAAGGCACCAGGCUGUGUAGAGGUGCUGAGCAACAAGCAGCAGCAAGUAGAGAACAAAGCCAGUGGGAGAUUGAGAGAUUUCACCAACCCACAUCAAGAAUUGGGUCAAGAUUCAAGAACAUUGCAUAGCAAUUCUUUGCAGGAAUUUCCAGCAAUUGGGAAGGAUGCUCAUGGAGAUUCAAGUGCCUAGUCGCAGAGAAGUGGGAGCCUGGCAGUUCACGGCCAAGACCUCAUGCUAGAGGCAAGAUUGAAGCCAUAGCAAGAAGCAAAGAGUGUGCAAGCAAGUCCAAGACCAAGAACCAAGUUUUGGGUAGUUGAUUGAUGAGUUUUCAUAUGUUUUUCUCAUUAGCUCUCCAUGCUCAUCAUCUCAGACUAGCUAGGCACGAUUCAGGCUUAGAUUCAGACUGGAAUCAGCCGCCUGAUCGUGAGUGGGAGUGUUAGAGGUAGAGAUGAUGUGGCAGUAGUUAUGCCCACGUGGCAGUAGCUUUAUGUAUAUGUACACAAUCAUAUACAGUUAUAUAUAUACAGUUCUUCCUCCUCGUGUGCGCGUCUCUCCGCUGCUAACACACUCUCACACUCUCAGGUAACAUCUUCAAUUUCUGGAACAACUCUUUAUAGGGGCACAUAUGUAACGUCGCUCCAGAGUCAAGCCAAAUAAAGCGGUCAAUGAUCUCGCCUUUUGGUGAAGGAAUGGUUCGCACCAUAAAGAGCUGGCCAUCGGCUCUUUUCCACGACCCCUUCCACUGUUGUUGUUGUUGUCAAACCUAUGCCAGGCACAUUGAAAUACGUUUCCAUUUCAUCAGAGAUCAAAUCAAGAAUGGAGUCAUCGAGCUAGAUUAUUGUCCAACUCGUAGCAUGGCAGCUGAUAUUCUGACAAAGGCACUAUCUCGUGAUGCCUUUGAGCGAAAUCGAGAUAUGCUGAAGAUCAUACGAGUGGAGUGAAAGGCUUUGGAUCCUGGCUGAGUGGGAGUGUCAACAGUAUAUUCGUGGACAGCCUGGAUCCUACAUGGAAGAUCUCAAGAGUCAAGAACACAAGAGUCACAACCUUUCCUAUCCAUCUUUCUCAUUGUAUAAAUUUGGUUUUUCACACCUCGUCAAUACACAGAAGAGUUAUCUUCCUCUUCCUCUUUCUUUCUCACAGAUAUAUGCAGCAAAGGGUAUUUCAUUUUUAGUGAACAUGCUAUCGAGCCUGCAGCUUUUAUAAUAAAACACACAAUCCUUAUAAAUAUAUAACAAACAACACACAAAUCACAUUAUUUAAGAGUCACUCGCAAGGUACGUAGUUACAGCUUGUAAGUUGACUUACACGCUGAUAUUACUUGUAACACGCACGUACGGAUGACAGAGUGCUCACUACUUCAGCCUUCAUAGCGUACUCCACCGAAACAAUGAGCUCUUUCAUGGAACCCCUCAAGGGGAUAGGAGGCUGCACGGUCACAUUAUACCCUUCACGCUCAUACGGGAGCUCAAGCCUAUUCCUGCUAUCAGGUAGGCAUUUAAAAUAAAUAGUAGCCACCUUCUCAGGCACUCGUCCGAGUGAGAACAAAUCGAAGGUACCCUCUGUUCCAUUGGAAGGAGUCCCCCUACCAGUUGCAGCGAUCCAACCUGGACCCGUCUUGCCAUGUUCGGUGAUCAUCCCAUCUGGGCAAGGAACGGUUAUGUCCUGAUUUGGAUACUGGAAGCACUUUCCCGAAGUCAAAGUAAUAUUCUCCAUUUCCAAAUCAUUGUUUAACUUGUUUGUUAUCUGGAAUGCAACCCACUGCUUAUUUGGAUCUGCGUGAAAGUCACAAACAAUUAGGCAUGAGCUUGAGCAUGAAGAACAGCCGAUAGAAAAACUAGUGCAAAUGUAAUGAACAAAAAAAGCCAUAUUGCUCGGAGGACCGGAAUAAGGAUUUCUCCACUGAGCUUGUAUUUAUACACCAAUUCAAACGUAUUAUAAUAUUAGAGCACGAGACGCAGACCAUUUCUUGCAUAUACAGUGAGAUAGAUUAAAGUGCUGUUCGCGUGCAACACUACAAACAAUGUUGCUGAACGGAUCGUGAAUUGACAGACCAACAAAGGCACUGUACAUACGUCAAAUAUGGAUUGGUUGAACCACUGGCUGAACACGAUUUGUUUGUUGGCUGUCAUAUAAGCCGUUUUUAAGUUGUACUGAAAUUACACCUCUAGCUUUUAGUUGAUGUCACAUGCACUUGGCAAUGGUUCGAUUUGGUCAGUAGCCCAAAGGUGUUAUAAUAUUAGAGCACGAGACGCGGGCCAUUUCCAUGGGCGGACCAUUUCCUGCAUAUACAGUGAGAUAGAUUAAAUGUGCAAGACUAGAUACAACGUUGCUGAACGGAUCGUGAAUUGACAGACCAAAAAAGGCACCACUGGCUGAACACCUCUAGCUUUUAGUUGAUGUCACAUGCACUUGGCGAUCUGCUUUAUUGGACGGUCACUAGCCCUCUGUUCAAUUUGAAACAUAUACAACUUCCUUAAGAUAUAUCUGGAAGGAUUUAGAGGAUGCUUAAACAUAUGAGGCUUAGAUUCAGACUGGAAUCAGCCGCCUGAUCGUGAGUGGGAGUGUUAGAGGUAGAGAUGAUGUGGCAGUAGUUAUGCCCACGUGGCAGUAGCUUUAUGUAUAUGUACACAAUCAUAUACAGUUAUAUAUAUACAGUUCUUCC
rnacentral:lncRNA from 1 species